UGACUUGAAUUUUAUUAGAACUUUGGUUUACAUGUAAGUUUUUGCGUGAGAAAGCAUAAAUUUUGAAUAGAUUUUGUUUAAUUAAUAUGUUCGCAGUAUUUAGUAUUGGUUAUUAAAGUUAUUUAGAUCCGGUAAAAGUGGCUAGUACAGGAUUAAUUUGUGCCAGCAUCCGCGGUUAUACAAAUUGUGCAGAUGAGAUUUUUUUGGUUAGUAGUUAAUUGUUUUAUGAAAAGGUUAUUUUAUUAAUUUUUAGGUGAAAUUUAAUUUGAUAAGAUAUUUUUUAAAAUAGAUGAGGCUACGAAAUUUUUUGAAUAAACUAGGAUUAGAUACCCUAUUAUUAAAAGUGUUAAAAUUAACCAGGGUAGUAUUAGAUAUGAUCUUGAAACCCAAAAAAUUUGGCGGUGUUUUAGUCUAUUUAGAGGAACCUGUUCCGUAAUCGAUAAACCACGAUAAAUUUUACUAGAUUUUGUUUAGUUUAUAUACCGUCGUUAUCAGAAUAUUUUAUGAGAAUAUAAUUUUCUUAAUUUUUUAUAAGAGUAUAUUUCAGAUCAAGGUGUAGCUUAUGAUUUAGAGGAAAUGGGUUACAAUAAAUUUAUUUAUACGGAAAUAGAAUUGAAAUAUUUUAUUGAAGGUGGAUUUAAUAGUAAAUUGAGUUAUGUUACUUAUUUGAUUAUAGCCCUAAGACAUGCACACAUCGCCCGUCGCUCUUUUUUAAUUAAAGAUAAGUCGUAACAUAGUAGGUGUACUGGAAGGUGUAUCUAGAAUGCA
rnacentral:ncRNA from 1 species